GACGAACGCUGGCGGCGUGCCUAAUACAUGCAAGUCGAGCGGACUUUCUUGAAGCUUGCUUUUUGACAGUUAGCGGCGGACGGGUGAGUAACACGUGGGCAACCUGCCUGCAAGACGGGUAUAACUCCGGGAAACCUGGGCUAAUACCGGAUAAUCUCUUACUUCACAUGCAGAAAUGUUGAAAGGCGACUCAAGCUACCGCUUGCAUAUUGGCCCGCGGCGCAUUAGCUAGUUGGGGAGGUAACGGCUCACCAAGGCGACGUUGCGUAGCCGAACUGAGGGGGUGAUGGGGCAAACUGGGAAUGAGAAACGGGCCAGACCUCUACGGGAGGGAGCAGUAGGGAAUCUUCCGAAAUGGAGGAAAGUCUGACGGAGGAAAGCCGCGUGAGCGAAGAAGGUCUUCGGAUCGGAAAGAUCUGGUGGCAGGGAAGAAAAAGGACCGUGAGAAAAGGGUGGUAUCUUGACGGUACCUGACCAGAAAGCCACGGCUAACUACGUG
rnacentral:rRNA from 1 species